GGAUGAACGCUGGCGGCGUGCCUAAUACAUGCAAGUCGAGCGAACGGACGAGAAGCUUGCUUCUCUGAUGUUAGCGGCGGACGGGUGAGUAACACGUGGAUAACCUACCUAUAAGACUGGGAUAACUUCGGGAAACCGGAGCUAAUACCGGAUAAUAUUUUGAACCGCAUGGUUCAAAAGUGAAAGACGGUCUUGCUGUCACUUAUAGAUGGAUCCGCGCUGCAUUAGCUAGUUGGUAAGGUAACGGCUUACCAAGGCAACGAUGCAUAGCCGACCUGAGAGGGUGAUCGGCCACACUGGAACUGAGACACGGUCCAGACUCCUACGGGAGGCAGCAGUAGGGAAUCUUCCGCAAUGGGCGAAAGCCUGACGGAGCAACGCCGCGUGAGUGAUGAAGGUCUUCGGAUCGUAAAACUCUGUUAUUAGGGAAGAACAUAUGUGUAAGUAACUGUGCACAUCUUGACGGUACCUAAUCAGAAAGCCACGGCUAACUACGUGCCAGCAGCCGCGGUAAUACGUAGGUGGCAAGCGUUAUCCGGAAUUAUUGGGCGUAAAGCGCGCGUAGGCGGUUUUUUAAGUCUGAUGUGAAAGCCCACGGCUCAACCGUGGAGGGUCAUUGGAAACUGGAAAACUUGAGUGCAGAAGAGGAAAGUGGAAUUCCAUGUGUAGCGGUGAAAUGCGCAGAGAUAUGGAGGAACACCAGUGGCGAAGGCGACUUUCUGGUCUGUAACUGACGCUGAUGUGCGAAAGCGUGGGGAUCAAACAGGAUUAGAUACCCUGGUAGUCCACGCUGUAAACGAUGAGUGCUAAGUGUUAGGGGGUUUCCGCCCCUUAGUGCUGCAGCUAACGCAUUAAGCACUCCGCCUGGGGAGUACGACCGCAAGGUUGGAACUCAAAGGAAUUGACGGGGACCCGCACAAGCGGUGGAGCAUGUGGUUUAAUUCGAAGCAACGCGAAGAACCUUACCAAAUCUUGACAUCCUUUGACAACUCUAGAGAUAGAGCCUUCCCCUUCGGGGGACAAAGUGACAGGUGGUGCAUGGUUGUCGUCAGCUCGUGUCGUGAGAUGUUGGGUUAAGUCCCGCAACGAGCGCAACCCUUAAGCUUAGUUGCCAUCAUUAAGUUGGGCACUCUAAGUUGACUGCCGGUGACAAACCGGAGGAAGGUGGGGAUGACGUCAAAUCAUCAUGCCCCUUAUGAUUUGGGCUACACACGUGCUACAAUGGACAAUACAAAGGGCAGCGAAACCGCGAGGUCAAGCAAAUCCCAUAAAGUUGUUCUCAGUUCGGAUUGUAGUCUGCAACUCGACUACAUGAAGCUGGAAUCGCUAGUAAUCGUAGAUCAGCAUGCUACGGUGAAUACGUUCCCGGGUCUUGUACACACCGCCCGUCACACCACGAGAGUUUGUAACACCCGAAGCCGGUGGAGUAACCUUUUAGGAGCUAGCCGUCGAAGGUGGGACAAAUGAUUGGGGUGAAGUCGUAACAAG
rnacentral:rRNA from 1 species